GCAUUUGUCAUUUUCCGGUCGUCAUUCGUACGCGCGACUUUUUGGCGAGUGUGUAAAAAUCUCCGGCUCUGCGUAAACCGAACCGAAAAUCGUGCUGCUUAGCCCCGAAAUUAGUAAUACACAAUAUACAAUAUGGCCGACAAGCAGCAAGUGGAUAGCGAGAUGAACGGCGAGGAUUUCACCAAGGACGUGACCGCCGACGGACCAGGAUCUGAAAACGGGGAUGGGGCCGCCGCCGGCUCCACUAACGGCAGUUCCGACAACCAAUCGGGCGGAUCCGGCCAGCGGGAUGACGACAGAAAACUGUUUGUGGGCGGUCUGAGCUGGGAAACGACUGAGAAGGAACUGCGAGAUCACUUCGGCAAAUAUGGCGAGAUCGAGAGCAUCAAUGUCAAAACAGAUCCCCAGACCGGACGCUCGCGAGGAUUUGCCUUCAUCGUGUUCACAAACACCGAGGCCAUUGACAAGGUCAGCGCCGCCGAAGAGCACAUAAUCAACAGCAAGAAGGUUGAUCCCAAGAAGGCCAAGGCCCGCCAUGGCAAGAUCUUUGUCGGUGGCCUAACCACAGAAAUUAGUGACGAAGAGAUUAAGACCUACUUCGGACAGUUUGGCAACAUUGUAGAGGUUGAGAUGCCAUUCGACAAGCAAAAGUCGCAGCGCAAGGGCUUCUGCUUUAUCACCUUUGAUUCGGAGCAAGUGGUGACGGAUCUGCUGAAGACGCCCAAACAGAAGAUCGCCGGCAAGGAGGUCGAUGUGAAGCGGGCCACGCCCAAGCCAGAGAACCAGAUGAUGGGCGGUAUGCGAGGCGGACCACGUGGCGGUAUGCGCGGCGGACGCGGUGGCUACGGAGGUCGUGGUGGAUACAACAACCAGUGGGACGGACAGGGUUCCUACUCGGGAUAUGGCGGCUACGGCGGAUAUGGAGCCGGUGGCUAUGGCGACUACUAUUCCGGCGGCUACUAUAAUGGAUAUGACUACGGUUAUGGCGGCGGCGGCGGCGGUGGUGGCGGCGGCGGUGGUUUUAACGGCGGAAAGCAACGCGGCGGUGGACGCCAGCAACGGCAUCAGCCCUACUAAAAAGGGGGCAGGGGGCGUGGGCAUUGGGUAUCUCGCAUUCUCCAGAUAACUGCAAACUAUUUGAAUUUUACCUAGUUUAGUUUGUUAUGCAUAACUACAAAUACAACACACCCUCACACAAAAACCAUCUUAGUAACCGCAUAUAUACACAGUUGUAUAUAUAUAGAUAAAAGAAAAGGAAAAGGAAUAGACUGGCUGGCUGGGAGCAAUAAUAUCAACAUCAGCUACCUUUACACACCUUUACACACUUGUUGUGUAGCACCAUUCCAACAACAUCAGCAGAAGCAGCAGCAACUACCCCGCAGCAACAUCAGGAGUAAAGAAGAAUCAUUUAUACCAUACAAAGCAAACCACACACAAAACACAAAUGCAUACACAUAUAGUUAGGCAUAGAGACACGUGUAAUUUUUCAGCAAGUGGCUAAUUUUUCAUAGCCACACGCUCAUUAAGCCGACAAACCAACCAACCAACCGCCCACCAAAACAACCCUUCAACCCUUGAAAACCCACAAGACAACCUUGUAGAGAACGUGGCACACAACAUUUGACAAACUAAAUGAUGUGCAACGCAACUCAUGUUGUCUGUGUGUCGAAACUAAUUUGUUUUUCUAAUGUAGUCCCAUACAUUAUGCGAGGUAAUUGUUUAACGUGUCCAGUAGCACAGGGAAUCGAAGAAAAAAAACAAACAUACUUACGAAACAAAACAAAAUACAUACAGCUUAAAUGUUUCAUACAUUACACAAUACAAUAGAGGAUAAGUAUUUGUUUAACUUUAAUUAUGAAUUAACUGUAAUAUGUAAUAAUAAUUAUAAAACCAACAAACAAAACAAACCAUGCAAGCGUUGACUGGCUGGCACAUCGGGUUGCCUUCUUCCCGUUCGAUUGAAUAACUAUAUACGACAACAAAAAGCAGAAAACAACUUACAACAAACAAAUCCACCAUAAUACAGAGCAGACAGCGGAAACAAGAUUAUUUUUGGUUUUCGGAUAUGUAUUACGCUCAUAGACUACAUUUAUACAUACAUAAUACAUAUAUCUAUAUUUAUGUACACUUCUGAAAGGGAAGAGAUUUAUAUUUUAAUAAAAAUCUAAAGCCACAUA